GUUAGAGUCUCGGGGCGUAACCGAAAGAUUGUUGGCUCGACUCCCGAGCUGACAAGGUAAAAGUCUUCGUUCUGUAACAAGGCAGUUAUCCCGCUGUUCCCGAUAGCCCGUCCUUGUAAAUAAGAAUUUGUUCUUGCCUACUUAAAUAAAAAUGAAAGAAUGACCGUGAUGUGUCACGUGUAAGUUGUGACCAACUGACUGAAAUUGUGACCGACUGAUCUACAAAUAAUAUCGAGUAUUUUUAUGCAAUAUUAUUUAUAUUGUAGUCUCGCCUUUAAAUCGGCUGCAAUGCCGAAAACUCAGAGAAAGCUUUGCAGUGGAGAACGAACCCGACCUAGCGGUCUUUGACAGUUAUACCACAGAUAUGGCAGCUGCGGUUUAGCCGAUUGAGAGACAAUCUGACAAUAACGAAACAAUUCAUGCACGAAACCUUACAAAAACAACCACUUUUACUUUUGACGAUGCAUUUACGUAUCCAUUAGAACUAUAAGCAAUGGAGUAAAUUCAUAGUUGAAGACAUUUUAUUCUGAUUGAAUAUUGAACUACUUCUACAAUAAAUUCGGACGAUUCUACUUUUCCGAUUUGACCGAUUUACUUCCCGACGCUCCCUUGACGUGGAGCAGCGUCAUUGCGGAAGUAGCUAAGUCUACGUGGGGAAGGAGGUUGGCUUGUUCGUGUUUGAACUAAACUCUGCCUCAUACAGGAUAAAUGUGCACCUACGGAACCUCACAAUAACCCUGCCGCGCCGCGCGAACCUAAAACCUCCCCGCCCGCUAGCUGAAUGGCCUUGUACCGCCAGGGCGUGGGAUCCGAUGGGAGGGAUAGGGGUAGUUCCCUGUAAUGCUUCGGUGGCUGCGGCAGUCUCUUAGGCAGGUGUCUAGUCUGAUGGCCCGGAGACCAGUGCUUGUCUGCGGGGCGAUACUGCUGAGCGUCCUGCUACUACUGGCCGUUACAUUUACCUGCAGUCGCCUGUCUCAUGUCCUGCUGCCGUCGUCAGAGCUGACUGUCUGCCUGUCUCAUGUCCUGCUGCUCGCUCGUCAGAGGGGACGACGUGUGUUACCUGUCUGCCUGUCUCAUGUCCUGCUGCUCGUCGUCAG
rnacentral:lncRNA from 1 species